GCUGGGCGUGGUGGCGCGCGCCUGUAGUCCCAGCUACUCGGGAAGCUGAGGCAGGGGAAUUGCUUGAACCCCGGGAGGCAGAGGUUGCAGUGAGCCAAGAUUGGGCCACUGCACUCCUUCCUGGGCUACAGAGCAAGACUCUGUCGCCC
ensembl:misc_RNA Metazoa_SRP Metazoan signal recognition particle RNA